CAGUAGCGUAUAUUAAAGUUGUUGCAGUUAAAAAGCUCGUAGUUGGAUUUCUGGUUUGACGAGUCUGACCCGCUGUGUUAUUCGCAGUGAGUGUCGGUUUACUUGUCUACCAUCCUUCCAGAAAACGAUUCUACCAUUCAUUUGGCCGGGAUCGGGAUCUGGAACAUUUACUUUGAAAAAAUUAGAGUGUUCAAAGCAGGCUUCGCUGUGAAUACAUUAGCAUGGAAUAAUAAUUUAGGACUUCGGUUCUAUUUUGUUGGUUUUCAGGACUGGAGUAAUGAUUGAUAGGGAUAGUUGGGGGUGCUAGUAUUCAGCGGCCAGAGGUGAAAUUCUUGGAUUCGCUGAAGACUAACUUAUGCGAAAGCAUUCACCAAGGAUGUCUUCUUUA
rnacentral:rRNA from 1 species